rnacentral:rRNA from 1 species
GUCGUAACAAGGUCUCCGUUGGUGAACCAGCGGAGGGAUCAUUACUGAGUUCU